rnacentral:rRNA from 1 species
GGAGGAAAGCAGGGGAUCGUAAGACCUUGCGCUUUUGGAGUGGCCGAUGCCUGAUUAGCUAGUUGGUGGGGUAAGAGCCUACCAAGGCGACGAUCAGUAGUUGGUCUGAGAGGACGACCAGCCACACUGGGACUGAGACACGGCCCAGACUCCUACGGGAGGCAGCAGUGGGGAAUUUUGGACAAUGGGCGAAAGCCUGAUCCAGCAAUGCCGCGUGAGUGAAGAAGGCCUUCGGGUUGUAAAGCUCUUUCAGUCGAGAAGAAAAGGUUGCGACUAAUAAUCGCAACUUAUGACGGUAUCGACAGAAGAAGCACCGGCUAACUACGUGCCAGCAGCCGCGGUAAUACGUAGGGUGCGAGCGUUAAUCGGAAUUACUGGGCGUAAAGGGUGCGCAGGCGGCUCUGUAAGUCAGACGUGAAAUCCCCGGGCUUAACCUGGGA